rnacentral:lncRNA from 1 species
GGGGACACCAAGGUGGGAUGGAGUCAUGGAACAGGAAUGGGGACACCAGGAGCCAAGACAGCAUCACAGGGCUUGUGUCUGGGGCAGGUGGUGCUGGUGGAGCAGGAUCCCCUCCUGUUUUCUGGAACAAUCCGUGAAAACGUUGUGCUGGGGCUGGAGCACUGCAAAGAAUCAGAGCUGCAGGAGGCUGCCAGUGCUGCUGGAGCCAUGGACUUCAUCCAGGGACUGGAGCAGGGCUGGGACACUGGUGAGAGCAAGGGGAUACCAAGGGAAUCCUGGGGCCUGGGACUUCAUCCUGGGGUUGGAGUGGGGAUGGGACAUUGAUGAGAGCUGGGGGGAUGUGGCAUCCCUAGGGCACAUGCCCCUGAUCUCAGGAUCCUUGGCAGAGAUGGUAGAGCAUGGUGGGUGGCAGAUGUUGUGGUGUGCAGGGGAUCUCUAAGGUCAGAUCCCACUGAUCCCAUGGGAUUGCUCCCACAGAGGUGGGGGAGCAUGGGGGGCGGCUGGCAGCAGGGGAGCGGCGCCGUGUGGCCCUGGCCCGGGCUCUGCUCCGGCGUCCAGCUGUCCUCAUCCUCGACGAGGCAUUGGAUGAUGGAGACGAGGGAGCGGCACAGCGCUGGGUGCGCGCUGGCCUGGCCCAGACCGUGCUGGUUGUGUCCCACCGGCCGCGGGUACUGGAUGCGGCCGAUCGCCUCGUGGUGCUGGAGCACGGAGCCGUGGUGGAGACAGGAACUCCAGCGGAGCUGCGGAAACACUGUGGGGCCUACAGCCGCCUGCUCCUUGGAGGAGGCAGCACUGGGCAGCCUGAGGCCCCCAGGAUGGGCGGCGAGAAGGGGGCUGCAUCUGGCAGGAGAUAAAGGGGAAUUAGCCCAAAUGUUCCCAUUCCCAGUGUUUGUGUCCCCAACCAGCUCCUGGUGUCCCCAGUCACAGUGUCCUGUGAAUCCCUUAUCCCCACAUCCUCUGGAUCUCAGCUCCCUGUGUCACCUUGGUCCCUGUGUCCCCCUUGUCCCCACUGUGUCCCCCAGAUCAGCCCAUUCCUUGGAUAUCUGUGUCCCCUGUAUCCUUCCUUGUAUCCAAGCCCCACCAUGUCUCCAUGAUUCCCGGUCCCCAUGUCUGCUCCUGGACAUGCAACACAGAGUGGGAAAUAAAUUCCAAGGAAUGGAUCUGGGCAUGGGCAUAUCCUCAUCCCACUCUUGCUGUGCUCACUCCAAGCUCCUGGUGUCCCCAGUCCAUUCCCACUGUUCCCAUCCUCAUCCCCAGUGUCUUCAUCCCAAUUUCAUCCCAUCCCAUGUCCCCUUUUCUAUUCCUGGUUCCCCGAGAGGAAGUGCUGGGCACUGGAGGAGGGAACUGGGCUUUAUUGUCCAAACCAGGGUAUUUUCACACCAGAAUUAAAACAUUUGGAAUAAUUGUCAUUCUUGUUCAUCUGCAUGGAGGUGAUCCAGAGCUGGAUCUGCCUCGGUGUUAGAUCACAUGUGGGGGGUGAGGGGCACAGGAGACAGAGACCCCUCCUCCCAAUGUUUGCAUGGCAACAGAGGGUUUUUUCCAAUCCCUCCUUUAUAUAUGGCAUUUGAAAGGCCCAGUCUGGAUGCUCUCACUGGUUUGAGAUCCACACCCCUUCGGGUCGGGGCCACUGAAAUGCCUGCAGUUUUAUGAGCGAUCUAAUUGGUCAAAACUCUUGUCACUCAGCCCAGGGGCUGGCAUUGUGACACUAUCAUCUCACCCUUUCUGUUCUACAAAUUUUGAUUUGCAUUAUAGCUGCAGCAUUUAUAUCCAGGACCUGACAGGGGAGAGCCACAGGCAUUAGGUUACAGAUUACAACUUACUUGUAAAAAACAACAAACCAUUUGACCCUUGAAGAAAAUGAAAACAGUCUGUAAGAACAAGAAUCAUUUAAC